rnacentral:rRNA from 1 species
ACGGGAGGCAGCAGUGGGGAAUAUUGCGCAAUGGAGGAAACUCUGACGCAGCGACGCCGUGUGAAGGAUGAAGGCCUUCGGGUUGUAAACUUAUAUCGAUUGUGAAAAGCAAGGAUGGUAGCAAAGUAAGAAGCUCCGGCUAACUACGUGCCAGCAGCCGCGGUAAUACGUAGGGAGCAAGCGUUAUCCGGAAUGAUUGGGUGUAAAGGGUGAGUAGGCGGCCUGACAAAGUCACAUAUUAAAUACUACAGCUUAACUGUGGCAUGGUAUGAGAAACUAGCAGGCUAGAGUGCAGGAGAGGUAAGCGGAAUUCCAAGUGUAGCGGUGAAAUGCGUAGAUAUUUGGAAGAACAUCAGUGGCGAAGGCGGCUUACUGGACUGUAACAGACGCUGAGGCACGAAAGCGUGGGGAGCAAACAGGAUUAGAUACCCUGGUA